GGGAUUGUAGCUCAGGGGAGAGCAUUUGCCUGGCAGGCAAAGGGUCGUGGGUUCAAUUCCCAUCAACUCUA
rnacentral:tRNA from 2 species